CUUCACCGACCCGAGCCACAGCGGCUCGUCGCGGCCCUGGCCGUAGGUCGCCAGCAGCGCCUGCGCCUC
rnacentral:antisense_RNA from 1 species